GAUGAACGCUGGCGGCGUGCCUAACACAUGCAAGUCGAGCGGACAGACGAGGCUUUUGCCCGGCUGACGCGAGGGGCGGGCGGGUGAGUCACACGAGGAUACCCUACCUAUAAGACUGAGAUCACUACGGGAAAGCGGAUAUAACACCGGAUAAGAUAUUGAACCGCGGGGGUCGAUAGAGAAAGACGGUUGUGCUGGCCCUAAUAGAGGGUUCCGGGCCGGAUGAGUUAGUGGGUACGGUGACGGCCUACCAAGGCGACGAUGCGUAGCCGAGCUGAGAGGGUGAUAGGCCACACUGGAACUGAGACACGGUCCAGACUCCUACGGGAGGCAGCAGUCGGGAAUCUUCGGCAAUGGGCGAAAGCUUGACGCAGCAACGCCGCGUGUGUGAUGAAGGUCUUCGGAUCGUAAAGCUCUGUUAUUAGGGAGGAACAACUGUGUAAUUAAACAUGGCCGUCUUGACGGUACCUAAUCAAAAAGCACCGGCUAACUACGUG
rnacentral:rRNA from 1 species